AGUCGGGGGGUAGUCUCUUCGGAUGAUGAGACCGGCGCACGGGUGCGUAACGCGUAUACAAUCUACCUUUUACAGAGGGAUAGCCCAGAGAAAUUUGGAUUAAUACCUCAUAGUAUUUUUGAAUGGCAUCAUUUGAUUAUUAAAGUUCCAACGGUAAAAGAUGAGUAUGCGUCCCAUUAGCUAGAUGGUAAGGUAGCGGCUUACCAUGGCAACGAUGGGUAGGGGUCCUGAGAGGGAGAUCCCCCACACUGGUACUGAGACACGGACCAGACUCCUACGGGAGGCAGCAGUGAGGAAUAUUGGACAAUGGGCGCAAGCCUGAUCCAGCCAUGCCGCGUGCAGGAAGAAGGUCCUAUGGAUUGUAAACUGCUUUUAUACAGGAAGAAACACACCCUCGUGAGGGUACUUGACGGUACUGUAUGAAUAAGGACCGGCUAACUCCGUGCCAGCAGCCGCGGUAAUACGGAGGGUCCAAGCGUUAUCCGGAAUCAUUGGGUUUAAAGGGUCCGUAGGCGGUUUAAUAAGUCAGUGGUGAAAGCCCAUCGCUCAACGAUGGAACGGCCAUUGAUACUGUUAAACUUGAAUUAUUAGGAAGUAACUAGAAUAUGUAGUGUAGCGGUGAAAUGCUUAGAGAUUACAUGGAAUACCAAUUGCGAAGGCAGGUUACUACUAAUAUAUUGACGCUGAUGGACGAAAGCGUGGGGAGCGAACAGGGAUAGAUACCCUGGUAGUCCACGCCGUAAACGAUGGAUACUAGCUG
rnacentral:rRNA from 1 species